AGGUUUUGCUGCGUGCAGAAGAGAUUGCAGUGGCAGUGUGGGUAAACCACAUAAUGGAGCCCAUGGGAUCACUCUGCACCCAAGUGAGGUCCUUCCUGCCUCUCUCCAUUGUAAUCCCAUUCCCACUUACCCAGGUUGGAUCAAAAAUGGCAUCAGAGCCAAUCAGGUGCCCUGAAUUUUCUCUUCCCCCAGCAGCCAAAACAGAAGACUGCUUGUUUAUCGAGGCCCUGAGGACAUGAGUCCUAUGGGUUUAAACAUGGCUUGGUCUCCCACAGGCCCCUCUCCCUGUGCUCCACAAUCCCGCCCCUUAUCGUGACACAUUCUUUGUGCUACUUCCACUCAAGUCACUUCUUGAAAAGGCCACAGACUGACUUCCCACAGCCAGUCACAAGUCAAGUCAAACUCGCCAGUGUGCAUGCACAAGGGUCAAGCCCUUCCACGGGUCAUAGUGAUGUUCCUGUUGCCCAGGUGAUGGGUUCUUGAGAUGUCACAAAGGAGGAGCAUCAGAAACGGGGCUGAGGACCCUCCUCAUCAGGACAUCCACAGGAUAGUCUCCAGAGACCAGGAUUCUCCGAAGCUGGGCCAGUAGGAAGAAACCUUAGGCAGAGAGUUUGCUGGGGAAGCAGCACGAAAUCCCAGUCUCAAGCCUGAGAGUACAAAGUAUAGGUGGGAUCCGACAUGAGAUCAGAGGUGGAGUCCAGAGACCCCAUCAGGCACCCCGAAUUUCCUCUUCCAAUGGAAGCCUAAGCAGAAGACCACUUACAUGUGGAGGCAAUGAGGGUUUUGGGGUACAUGUGAAGAACAUGCAAGAUUGCUGCACAGGUCCAUACAUGGCAGUGUGAUUUUCUGCCUUCCUUCUUUAAGAAGCCUGACAGCCCAGAGCCAGGCGCGAGUCAAGACACCUCACCAGUGCACAUACACGCGUCACAAUUGGCUAUUCAGGUCAUAGUGACAUUCAUCAUCGCUCAGUGAUAGUUUGCUAAGGCAUUACAAAGGAGGAGCCCUCUGUGGCAGCCUGUAAAAAAUGGGGAUCAGGCCCCUCCUCACCAGGACAUCCACAGUAUAUUCUUCAGAGGCCAGGAUUUCCUGAAGGUGGGACAAAAAGAGGAGACAUCAUGCAGAGGGAAUUCUUGGGAAGCAACGCAGAAUCCCAGUCUCAGGCCAGUGAUGACAGGAUACAGGUGAGUCUCCCCAAAUAUCUUGCCCUGGUAAUCUCUCAAACACCUCUGCCUGUUUGCCUGUGGGCUGCUCUCUCAUCUGAGGCUCUCAGUGGUGGACAACACCUCCAGGUGCUGCCUAUAGAUGAGUGAUAUUCUGCCACUGCUCUGUGUGUGUGUGUGUGUGUGUGUGUGUGUGUGUGUGUGCAUAUAUGCCUCUGAUUUCUCUCUCUUCUUUCCUGCUCCCUCCCUUUCUUACUGCAUCUGUGUGUGAUGCAGGCAUAUGUGUGUGUGUGUGUGUGUGUGUGCCCCUGUGCCCUAUGCACCAGAGAGAGGUUUCUUGCAUGAAGGUCUCUCUUGCUGAGUACCUCCCAUUGUCUCUGCCUGAGUCACAUGGCUGGUCAUCAGUCGUUUCCCAGCUGCUCCAACUGGCAUUUGUGAAGGCCUGGACAAUGUGGGGAGGGAGCAGCAUUGGACCAGCAUGGAUUUCAGUCACCACCCAAUCCUGAGUAGCCUCUUUCUUAGGAGCAAGGCCACAACACCCCCAGCCGAGGACAAAAUCCUCAUCACAGCUCACUGUCCACCUGCAGGAGGGCUGCCCACCAACCUCAAAGAAUAUGGUUCUCAUUUCUCUCACCUUUUCCCUUAUAAAGAAAUCUAGCCACAACUUGACACAGGGCCAGACCCAGGUAUCAAGAAUGGGAUGUUGCAAGCAUCUCCGUCACUCCAACACUGGCCUUUCUGUCAAAGUCAAACAUUUGUCACUACCUACCCUGGAUGCCUGUGGAGGUGGCAUUGUGCUGUAUUUGGUCUGGACUCUGUCCUCCCUCUUUCUCUGUCAGCCCAGUUUCUGACAAGCCUAGAUUCUUCAUAGUCUGAAUCACUGUCUUCAACAGGGAAUACUCUUCAGAACAGAAGGGGGAAACUUCGUGGGGAUGUGUUUCAUGUCUGUUUCCCCCUCCAAAGCUGUUUCUGAAUGAUUGGACAACUAGGAUAAGCAGAGAGCCCUGGGCUUAAAUCAUGUGGGACAGAAAUGCUCUCUCAGCCUCCAUGUGCCACUAGAUGGCUGCUUGGCUGGCCACUGCCUUCACCACAAGGCAGUGUUGCAAUUCCCCUGCCCUUCCUCUCAUUCUUGAGGGUCAUUCAACUCUUCUGAUCCUGGGGAAAGUGAUUUCAAACACUGGAUCUUUUGGCUGCCACAGAUGCCAGGGAGCAGGUCAAAGGGAUUUGGUUUUGCUGGUUGCUGGGGAGGCUUCAUCCUAGGUACCUGGCAGGUGGCAGGGUGGGGACACCAUGCCUUGGAGCCCAUGGCAUCUCUUGGUACCCCAGCGAGGUCCUUCCUGCGUCUCUCCAUUGUAAUCCCAUUCCUGCUUAUCCAGGUGGGAUCCAAAAUGGCAUCCAAGGCAGAGUCCAACAGCCCAUUGGGAGCUCUCAAUCUCCUCUUCUGCCAGGAGCAGAGGUAAAAGACUGCUCACUCGUGGAGGCUCUGACACGAGUCCUAUCGGUUUGAACCUGGCAAGGUCUCCCACAUGCCCCUCUCUGAGGUGUCCUCAAUCUCACAGCUUUCGCCUCCACUUUCUCCACCACCACCUCCACCAUGGCCAUUCCUUAAAGGGGUCACAGCCUGACUUCCCGGAGCCAGGAGAGAGUUGAGUUGGCCUUGCCAGUGCACAUGCUAGAGGCACAAGCCACUCCUCAGGUCAUAGCGAGGUUCACCAUUGCCCCAGUGAUGGGUUUAUAAGAGGCCACAAAGUAGGAGACCCCUGUGAGAGUGUGUCGGGUACAGGGCUCAGGCCCCUCCUUGCCAGGAUGUCCACAGUAUACACUCCGGAGUCCAGGUUUGCUGAACGUGGGCCAAGAGGAAGAAAUCUCAGGCAGAGGUAGGGCCUGAAAAGCAGCACGGAAUCCCAGUCUCAGUCCUGCACCAAUGGGAUACGAGUGAAUCUCCCAAAGGUCAGGCCUUGAUCAUCUCCAGGACACCUCUGCCUGUGUUUC